CACCAAGUGCCAAAUCCCACAGUGUUUUAACAAGAUGUAGAAGUCUUCCAGAAACUGCACAGAACCUCUUCAGAGACAAGAGAUCGAACACGCAGGGACAGCAAGAGGCUAUACUGAAUUGAGGACUGGAUGUCAGAGGUGGAGAUGGCUGGAAACAUGAGACAUGGCAACAGAACCUCUUCCACCGGUAGACUGGUAGGAACAGGCUCAGUUCUGUGGGAGAUGACAGGAAGAAGAGUCUCCAUCACAGGAGUCUUCAGGUUUUAUCAAACAUGAACCAAGCAUGCACACUAAGAGGAAGAGACAGGUGAGAGAGAUUAAAGCACGGUUAUCUGCCAUUCAGAUGUGCAAUCACAGGAGACUUGUUUCUUCAUGGGUAUCCAUAUCCGUUAUUUUGUGAAGAGACUGACAGUUUAUCCAACACUCAGCCAACAAGCCCGCCUUGCCAGUUAUCCAUGUGGACAGCAAUAAUAGUUCCAGGAGAGGCCCUGAGACCCCAAGAACAUAAAGAGUAAUUUAUUGGUCGCUGCACCUAGGUUGUGAGGGAAAAGCUUGCAAGUCAAGUUGAUGUUCUACCUGAAAGAAGCUGUGUGUCUCUUGCAUGUACAACUGAAGAGAUGUUCUUAUAAGCAGAAGUCUAUGCUAAAGGCCACGUCAUGUCCUCUUCCUGGGCUCUCCCAUGCAAAGCCAGACAAAUCUCAUGGUACAAUGCAGUGUAUUUCUUGUUUUUCACAGUCAAGGAAUGUGACUUUGCUAUCAGUGCUGCCACAGACAGAAUGUACACAAGCCCUGGGAACAUCUCAGAGAACAGAAUUUAUCAAGGGAACAUAGGAGUCAUAACAACUCCCAGAGGAGCACCAGUCAACAUUAAAGUGCUCAUGUUGUGACUGGCUGGUGCUGAUGAUGGUGUUUAAGCUUUUGCUUUUCUGUUCAAAGUGCGGA
ensembl:lncRNA